rnacentral:lncRNA from 1 species
CAUGCUAGCCUCCUACUGUUCUUCUUCCCACAAACACAAAAUGAACUCCACAUGGUACAACACCCACCACUCCUUAGGCCCGCAGGAUCACUGCAAUAUACUUCUACAAAGAUAUGCAGGAAAGAACACACACAGCUCUCCCACACAGCUUGGAACCAUCAUGCAGAAUAAGCCGGAUCUAUUCUGGUUUCAUGUUCCUGUUUUUCAAAGAUUCCUUGGACAUGUACUUUGCUCUCAAUGGGA